ACCUGUGAUGAGACUAAGAUCCAAACUCAUUAAGGGAAAGAGUCUUUGAGCAGUUUUUAAAACUUAUCAAAGCAAAAGAAUUGUGCAGCUCAACCCCCCCAUUCCUCCUAGCUCUGAAGGCUCAGUGACCUCAGCUGCUGUCCUACCUGCUCCUGCUCCGGAGCCUGCAGCGUUUCCACUGCUCAACCAUGCUCCUGCUGCUCAUCCCAGUGCUGGAGAUGGUUUUUUCCCUGAGAGGGACCAGAGCCCAGUCAGUGACGCAGCCUGACGUCCACAUCACUGUCUCUGAGGGAGCCCCUCUGGAGCUGAAGUGCAGGUAUUCAUCUUCUCUUCCAUCGUCUCUCUUCUGGUACGUGCAAUAUCCCAACCAAGGACUCCAGCUUCUCCUGAAAUACACGUCUGGAAACAGCCUUGUUUCAGGCAUCAAAAGUUUUGAGGCUGAAUUUAAGAAGAGUGACACCUCCUUCCACCUGAGGAAACCCUCAGCCCAUUGGAGUGACUCAGCUGAGUACUUCUGUGUUCUGGUGACACACAGUGCCUGGGACUGCAGGGGGAGCUGAACACAAACAUCCUGAGACACUGGAACUUUCUGUGACUCAAGACUUCAACCUGGGGAGUUUUCAAGAAGAUCUCUUUUUCUAUGAAGGCCAAUAGCGCAGGGUGGGCUGAGCCCUGGGGAGAGCUUGUCUCCCAAAUAGUU